UACCAGCACCCCGAGUGGUCGGGACGAUUAUUGGGCCUAAAGCAUCCGUAGCCGGUUCUACAAGUCUUCCGUUAAAUCCACCUGCUUAACAGAUGGGCUGCGGAGGAUACUAUAGAGCUAGGAGGCGGGAGAGGCAAGCGGUACUUAGUGGGUAGGGGUAAAAUCCGUUGAUCCAUAGAAGACCACCAGUGGCGAAGGCGGCUUGCCAGAACGCGCUCGACGGUGAGGGAUGAAAGCUGGGGGGAGCAAACCGG
rnacentral:rRNA from 1 species